UACCGGAGACGAGAUGAUAAAAAGUCCGUUAGCUUACACGAAUCGUUCGCGGAGCCAUUUUCUUUUUCAAGCUCUUUCGAAGGAGCGGUUUGCGACCGUGGUGUAGGUAUACGAGAAGAAAGAUCCGAUCCUCCGCAUAUAUUUGCGUACCACGCGACGAUCGUCGUAGUAUCGCGGUGCAGCUGCGGUUGUAGGUAGAUUUCUCGCAAAAGGGGAAAAAAAAAAAAAAGGUCGAAUAAAAACGGGAGAAAAAGUAGCGCAGGGAAAACAGGGACUCGCUGUACGUACGCGCGUGUAUUGCACAGGGGAAAACGAAUAACGACGAGCAUGCAGAAAACCAGGGAAAAUCGGCUUGAAGCGUUAACUGAACUGCUGGAAGAGAGGGUAAAACCUGUGGCAUAAAUUCAGGAAAAAGGUACACAUGUGUGGCACUCAUUUGACGAUUUGGAAUAAAAUUACGAUGAACUUUGACUCGGUCGUUGGCAGAACGAACGCGAUCCCCGAGGGCGACGGACGACCAGACUUUGUGGACUCCGUCGUUUCUACCUCGUCAACAAAGCCGUCCAAUUAUAUUCAUCAUCACCAGUGGAUUUAGCCGACGACGAGCCGUGCUCUAAGGAGGCUCUUAUUAUGUCUUAUGACUGUUCCGCGGCGGUUCGUCGUCAUUCGACACCGUUAGGGGUUCCCUGCGUUAAAAAGAAAAAGAAAAAAAAAAAAAACAAUAUAUGAGAUCCUUUCGCCACGAAAAUUGCAUUUUUGGCGGCUUGGUAGACUUCACGCCGACAUGGUGUAACGGCGAUGUAAGUUGGUGGUAUUCAAAAAAGAACACGUACAUUCACAACCGCUUGUAUAACGGAUGCUUUUGUGCCGCGGAAAGUAAUUUUUAUUCGCUUUUCUAAAAAUAUAUCACGUUUGCCGCUCGCACGUGUAUAAAGAAGACCUUUGUGCGAGUAGCUCUCGACUUCUUCCUGCAACACUUCUAUUUUUCCUUUUUCUCUUUUUUUUUUUUUCAGUCUUUCCUCUUUUUUUGGAUUUGCCACUCUCGAUUACUCUCUCUCUCUCUUCUCUUUCCACUAUUUUAUUCCUAAUGUUCGUACCUAGGUAGGCGAACAUCGCGUCUUUUGUACGUCUCAUAUCCGAAAAAUGAACAAUGGACAAACACGCGAGAGACGGUUAGAAAAUUAAAGUCCGAACGUCGACGCGUACUACGCCGCAUAGAAUCACUGCAAAUAAAUAUAUGAUUCAUUAAUUUGACGAUUGCAAAAAUCCAUCGAAUUUAAACGAGGAAAAAAGAAAUAAUGAAGAUACAAAUUGAGCCGCGGUCGGAGCGCAAUGACACAGUCAUCGUUUAAACGGUGCGAAACGAAAAAAAAAAAAAAAAAAAAAAAAAAACUUGACUCUUUGGCAUCGGAAAUGUACGUAAUUGCGAUGAUCAGGUUCCGCGAUAUUUUUAUGAUAUAUCUUCAGUUUGUGUAGCGCGCGUGAAUCACCGCGCGCGAUCCAUACCCACCGCUGAAUCGUACGUAUAAGAGGCGCCGAUUUAUUUAGAGAAAAAUUAAUCACUCGCUGAUUCGAAUCGGACAAUAACGGAGAUCUGCUGCAAUCGCACGUACGUCGACGCUGUGCGGAUACGUGGAAAGAAAGAGGGGAGGAAAAAAAAAAGUCUGACGAUGACAGAAAGACAGAAUGAAAUGAAGAAAUUUUUCAAACCGUACAGAGAAAAUUCGCCGUGCACCUAUACGUUGUAAAUAUGUAAUUGCAUCGUCGACUUGCGCAAGCUGGAGUUUCGCAAUAAUUACCGUACGCCGCGGUCCUCGAGGUACAUUAUUGCAUGCACAUAUAUAGGUACGUACGUACGUAGCAGAUAGG